rnacentral:rRNA from 1 species
AUUGAACGCUGGCGGCAGGCCUAACACAUGCAAGUCGAGCGGUAGCACAGGGAGCUUGCUCCUGGGUGACGAGCGGCGGACGGGUGAGUAAUGUCUGGGAAACUGCCUGGUGGAGGGGGAUAACUACUGGAAACGGUAGCUAAUACCGCAUAACGUCGCAAGACCAAAGAGGGGGACCUUCGGGCCUCUCGCCACCAGAUGUGCCCAGAUGGGAUUAGCUAGUAGGUGGGGUAACGGCUCACCUACGCGACGAUCCCUAGCUGGUCUGAGAGGAUGACCAGCCACACUGGAACUGAGACACGGUCCAGACUCCUACGGGAGGCAGCAGUGGGGAAUAUUGCACAAUGGGCGCAAGCCUGAUGCAGCCAUGCCGCGUGUAUGAAGAAGGCCUUCGGGUUGUAAAGUACUUUCAGCGGGGAGGAAGGUGUUGAGGUUAAUAACCUCAGCAAUUGACGUUACCCGCAGAAGAAGCACCGGCUAACUCCGUGCCAGCAGCCGCCGUAACAC